UGGCCAAAUAUCUUUACGCACAGUGUAUCCUCCUCAAGUACCAUCUUCCUUGGAAAGGUUGAUGUUGUUUUUAAGAUCAUCAUUUACAGAAAGCUUACAAAAUGGAGCCCAUUUGUAAGUUCCGUCAUUUUUUCAGUUUGAGGAUAAUUUAGUGGCGAGUUAGGCUUAAUUCUGAUAACACGGGAUGUAUGUAAAGUGUACCCAGAGUUUUCAUUUUUUACAUAAUUUAAUUACUUGCUUAGCUGAAUGUUUCGUCUUUGAGUUAAAUCGUGCAAGUGGAGAUGGAUAUCCCUAAAAAAUAUUUUCCUGUCUUUGGCUAACGGGUAGGCAGACUUUUCCAUGUUAAUAUUUACAUAUGUAUUUGUGCAAUUUUUCGAAUGACGCAUGGAUACACCAAUUUAUUUACUAUGAAAUUUAACGAUUUUUUGCAUUGAUUUUUUACAAUUUUAUAGACACCGAAUUUAAAACCUUGAGAAGGAUGGUACCGUACCGUACACCAACCUGAAAACCUAUUAAAGGUCCUUACGGAAAAAUGUCGUCCCUUUAUUGGAUUCAUGUUAUCAUUCGAAUUCAACCCAACCCCUCGUAUUUUCACCACCAUCUUGGACAAUUUGAGCCAAACUUGUCUUAUCCAUGCACACACAAGGCUAUCGAAUGAGAUAAUGAAAAAAUAGAUGCAUCGAAAGCGGGGAUCUUGUGCAGGUUAAUCAGAUACCUAAGCUACCUAUGUAUUUAUUUAUUUAUAAUGCAUAAUUCUUCGCUUUACAGCAGCUACAUAUAUACGAUUUUAGGGUUAUAUAUUUUAAGGUUUAUUGAGUAUAAAUUUAUCUACAUACAUAAAUAUUGUAAUGUAGUAAACCGUAUCCUGUAGACGGUUGACUGUUUAAAGUAAUGUUACCAUUUUGAAAAUUAAAUGCACUCAGAAUUCUUAAUUCAGAAUACUAAAUCUAGAGUAACGUUAGAUCUUUAAAAAUCUUAAGGGUAAAGUUUACCCUGGAUAGAGUUUACCUUAUUUAUACUUCAAAGUGCAUUUACUUUUCAACAAGGUAACAUUAUUUUUUAGAGUGUGGUGAAAAAUAUUUAUAUGCGUGAGCGAUAUUUCUCAUCAAAAUUUCGUUUAACAUACAUCCAAUGGUAAUGGAUACUUAUGAAUUAUUAUGAAUAGUUAAGAUUAGGACUAUUUAUGAUACAUACAUACAAGAUCCUUUAUUGGGUGUUGAUUUAAUUCGACCCCAAUUUCUCCUGUCAAUAUUUGUAAACUUGUACCUCAAAUACGGGAAAAGUUCUACGCUAAUUAUUUUAUUAGGGAGACAUUAUUGAUUGUUUAGUCUCUCGGCAGAUUAUAUUAAUCAUGCCCUUAACUUUAGUUUAAAAAACCCCGGAAUAAUAAUAUUAUUCAAGCGAAUAUGAUUCAAAUGUGCUGUCCUAUCGGAAAUCGGUCAGUUUUGCGAAAAAUAUUCGUCAUAAAAGAAUUCUGCUUGGCGAAAAACAGAUAAUUAAUCAAAUGUUGCAGUGAACUAUGAAUAUAGAUAGACUUAAAAAAGAACAAAUACUAAUGUUUGUGUCAUCCUAAUUUGCUUUGUGACAGUAAGGAAGAGUUUAGGUACAUCAAAACAUAUAUAACUGUAUUCAUUCGUUCUUGCUUCAUAGAAAAUAUUUUCACUCCGAACUUGGAUGUCAUGCAGGCCUCCAAAGUGUAUAACACUAUUUAAUAUAGACAUCCAGACAAUUACAAGACUGGUUGGUGCCAUGCGUAUUUAUAACGACAGCAACCAGAAGUGUGAUAGAUGCAAUUUUCAAGGGAAAAAUAACGUCCAACUCAGACGAUAAAUAUGUAAGUCACUUGAUCUCGCUUUUGGGACUCAGUAAGCUCGUCAAAAGUUACUCUGGAGCACAUAUAUCGACUAGAUGGUGGGUGGCGCCUCUUGAGUAGACUAAUUGGAUUUGGUUAUCUAGAAGAAGAACGGCGAGCUAAUGAGCUCGACGUAAAUUUUUGGGCUGUUUUCGUCGAAAGAAGAAGCAGACGUAAGUGCUGUUCGUUAUACAUGUAAACCGCUUCAUAAAUAUAUAAAUACUAGCGAAACUUUUCGAGGCUCCGAAGGUCAUUCCGUAGGUCAUUAAAUUGGGCUUUACACUCGUCCGUAAAGUUGAAAGGAACGCCAGUUUCCAAAAGUGGGAAUAAUCUAUUUGCUCUCAUUACAAGUGACGGUAUGAAAAGACUCCAAUAAUUACGGCUUCCCAACAAACUACACAAUUCAGUUUUGCUUGUUGGAUAUUUCAUGGAUAGGAUUACUGAAACGUCCAUUCAAGUCCAUUCAUUAAUACGUGUCACUUUGACAAAGUUUUUUUUUAAAUCGAAUUAUCAAUAGUCAUAGUUUAUUUCCCCUGCAAAAUCUCUGGCCGCUCCAUCGUUGCCUGUAUCCGAUCUGUCGAUUCUUCCGUAUUUUUGACUUACUUACUUUCUCCUUUAUUGUAUGAAUGUGACUAAUUCUAAGCAGCUAUCAACUUAAACUUUUAAUUUGGAUUGCAUGAUUGCAAGGCACAUUUGCUCAUUAUGCUUUUUUGGCUUCUCAUCUUUCCACCACAAAAGAAAUAAAGUGGUUGACAUGAAUAUUUUUGUGUUCGUUGCGUUAUUAAUACUAACUUGGAGAUAAUCUGCGUAUGAAUCGAUUUAUUAGCAGGUUUUAUUAGGGCGACCGUUAUAAGUGGUUUCAGUGUGACCUUACAAUGGAAAUUUUUUUUCAAGACAGAAAAUUCGUAAAUUGCCCUUGGUUACGAAAACAGUAUCCAUGAAAUUCGACAGUUUAAGAAUUUUGUCAUUUGGGUUGCACCAGGUUGGUUAUUGGCGUUUUUAAUUUAAAAAAAUCCCAAAUCUUGUAACUAAUGGACCUUUAAGGGCUUUCCUCAUUGAAAAAUUUUCUAUUGUAGCGUGACUUUUAAACCACCCUGUUACCUGUAUAUGAUUACAGGUUCUUUUGAGGUUUAACACUUACAAUGAGGAGGUGUCAUGUAUGACCGCGUCAAUCAACUGAGAGAUGCGAUUUUGAAAAUUUAGGCGAAAUGGGUGAAGCAGACUCUCCAAUAGCUCGUAAGCCCCUUGAAUCUCCGAGUUAAUUAAUUUAUUUCAAAGCAUAAGGACCCUUGAAGUAAUUAAGGUCACUAGAAACAUCAAAUAUUGCCUAGAAAAAUAAACACAGAUUUUUAAUUUUAAAAUAUUGACGAUCGCCUAUCAUUUUGCACCACCUAUUUUUUAAGUUUUUCCAGCUAAGUAAUUUUCCCGAUGAAGCUGGUAUGUCAUACUUAUGUUAGAAGUAAGUAAUGCCAUUAUACAGAAUUGUGUAAAGUUUGAAGUCAUUCGGAAAACUGGUGUGGAAAUUAAGUGGAAAAUACCAUUUCGCCUAACAUUUUGCUCCUGACUGUAAAUAAGAGAUAGGAGCAACUAGUGUAGCGUUACCCCGUAAGACUGGAUUUUGUCCAUUACCGUGAUCCUACUUUUCUUGCCAUGUUCGCGUCGGAGAGGAUCUAAGACUUCUGCAAAGGUUACGGCGAGUUAAGUUCAGAGAUGUAAUCUACCAUAUUUGUUUAGUUAUUUAGAAUAUUUCCAUGAGUUGAAUGGGUGGGUACUUCCAAUCAACUGGGUUUAUCGAUAUCUGUGUAUUCACAAGUGUGUUUCGUGAGCUAAGCGUUGGGGGAACUUAUUUCGGAAAUAUGUCGGGAAUAUUCAAGAAGUGAUGAAUGGAAACUUUGUGUAAAUUUAGACACAGACGUACAGUUUUAUUAGCAAGGAUUGUAUGGUGACUCAACUGACUUAAUCAAAGUAUGUUCGAAAAAAUGUUGAAUAUAAAUUUAGGCAUUAAAACAAAGUUUGUAGAAAGAGAGAGAAAGAUCAGCAAACAGGGUAAUAAACACGCCUUUUAACUACAAAGUUGCAGAAUCUGCAUCUUGCUCUUUUUGGUGAUAAGGAUUAUUAAAUCACGUCACAUAAAUUUAACAGCUUGCCACUAACUUCAUCUAACUAGAAACAUCGGUUAUGUGUAACUCGGACCUAGCAAUGGAAGUAUGUGAAUUUGAUACACUUUUCAAUUGUAGUCCGCGAAUGUAGGAAAAUUUCCGUGUGAUAAUUACAUUUGGUCACGUUGUGACCAUUUUGGUGAUGCGCGGAGGCCAGCUCUGGUCAGGUGUGCUUUAAGAUGUGCAGGGUCUCACACGUAAUGCAGGCUGGUUGAUUCUGGCAGUAAGAAUGAUUUGCGCUUGUUUCUUUAGUCUUGUGUAACGUUUGCACAAUUUGGUGUCGUUUCGACCUUUUGCUACGCUUCGUUUGCAAAGGUUCAUUCGACCUUGAGACCGGGUAGAAUCCAGCAUAUGCAAAAGUGGACACACAGAUCGUCUUCGUAGAAAAUAGAAAAAGGAGUCCACUUGACCUGAUUGACAUUAUUUCAUUUCUUCUAUACUCUAUGACUGCGCCCCGGUUUUGAAACUUUGGAACUUUGGAACUUGACACCCAUUUUUACUUAAAAGCAAUUACAUAUACAUAUAUGCAACUAGGGUUGCCGCGGGUAAUGGGUCGGGUACCCGUUACCCACAUACCCGCACUAUUCUUGCGGUAUCUGCGGGUCGGGUAGUGAGAACUACCCGCACGGGUAACGGGUAGUUCAGUUUUUAUUUAAUUAUCAACAAUGUUGAUAAUUUACCACAAAGUUACCCAAUUUACCUGUGUUGAUGUCGUUACCCACGGCAACGCUAGUAUUUUAACUGGUCCGUUCCCUAUUCUGAAGAACUACUUGGGUUACAUCAAUUCUUGACUGAACACGAUUUAACAAAUCAGCCAUAAAAUAGGUUUUACUCUUUAAAUUUGUUUGUAAAAAUUACUGUUAGUGUUUACAAUAUUACAUAUUAUUAGUAACUAGUAUUUAAAUAAUUUAGUCUAAACUAUACGUUGUUAUGUAUAUUUAUGCAUACAUACAUAUUUAACAUACUUUCGUGCUAAUAAUGUGCAUAUGCACACCGUCUUUGAAAUGAUUUGGUGAUUUUUAAUAUUGUCUUUUUGAAAUUAUUUAUG